rnacentral:rRNA from 1 species
GGCGAGUGAAGCGGGAAGAGCUCAAAUUUGAAAUCUGGUGGCCUCAGGUCAUCCGAGUUGUAAUCUAUAGAAGUGUUUUCCGUGCUGGCUCAUGUACAAGUCCCUUGGAACAGGGCGUCAUAGAGGGUGAGAAUCCCGUCCUUGACAUGAACUACCAGUGCUCUGUGAUACAUUUUCAACGAGUCGAGUUGUUUGGGAAUGCAGCUCAAAAUGGGUGGUAAAUUCCAUCUAAAGCUAAAUAUUGGCGAGAGACCGAUAGCGAACAAGUACCGUGAGGGAAAGAUGAAAAGCACUUUGGAAAGAGAGUUAAACAGUAUGUGAAAUUGUUGAAAGGGAAACGAUUGAAGUCAGUCGUGCUCUUUGGAUUCAGCCGGUUCUGCCGGUGUACUUCCUUUGAGUGGGGUCAACAUCAGUUUUGAUCGCUGGAUAAAGGCUGGAGGAACGUAGUACCCUCGGGUAAACUUAUAGCCUCCUGUCACAUACAGUGGUUGGGACUGAGGAACGCAGCACGCCUUUAUGGCCGGGAUUCGUCCACGUACGUGCUUAGGAUGUUGACAUAAUGGCUUUAAACGACCCGUCUUGAAACACGGACC